rnacentral:rRNA from 1 species
AACGGGUGAGUAACACGUGGGUAACCUGCCCAUCAGAAGGGGAUAACACUUGGAAACAGGUGCUAAUACCGUAUAACAAUCAAAACCGCAUGGUUUUGAUUUGAAAGGCGCUUUCGGGUGUCGCUGAUGGAUGGACCCGCGGUGCAUUAGCUAGUUGGUGAGGUAACGGCUCACCAAGGCCACGAUGCAUAGCCGACCUGAGAGGGUGAUCGGCCACAUUGGGACUGAGACACGGCCCAAACUCCUACGGGAGGCAGCAGUAGGGAAUCUUCGGCAAUGGACGAAAGUCUGACCGAGCAACGCCGCGUGAGUGAAGAAGGUUUUCGGAUCGUAAAACUCUGUUGUUAGAGAAGAACAAGGAUGAGAGUAACUGUUCAUCCCUUGACGGUAUCUAACCAGAAAGCCACGGCUAACUACGUGCCAGCAGCCGCGGUAAUACGUAGGUGGCAAGCGUUGUCCGGAUUUAUUGGGCGUAAAGCGAGCGCAGGCGGUUUCUUAAGUCUGAUGU